AGAGUUUGAUCAUGGCUCAGGAUGAACGCUAGCGGCAGGCCUAAUACAUGCAAGUCGAGGGGCAGCAUUAUCGCUUGCGAUAGAUGGCGACCGGCGGACGGGUGCGUAACGCGUAUGCAACCUACCCAUUACAGGGGGGUAGCCCGAAGAAAUUUGGAUUAAUACCCCAUAAUAUUAUUGUUUGGCAUCGGAUGAUGAUUAAAGAUUUAUUGGUAAUGGAUGGGCAUGCGUCCCAUUAGCUAGUCGGUAAGGUAACGGCUUACCAAGGCGACGAUGGGUAAGGGGUUCCUGAGAGAAUGAAUCCCCCACACUGGUACUGAAAUACGGACCAGACUCCUACGGGAGGCAGCAGUAGGGAAUAUUGGUCAAUGGGCGCGAGCCUGAACCAGCCGUGCCGCGUGCAGGACGACGGCCUUCUGGGUUGUAAACUGCUUUUAUACAGGAAUAAAAAGUGCUCUGCGGAGCGGAUUGCAUGUACUGUAAGAAUAAGCACCGGCUAACUCCGUGCCAGCAGCCGCGGUAAUACGGAAGGAUGCAAGCGUUGUCCGGGAUUUAUUGGGUUUAAAGGGUGCGUAGGCGGUUAUUUAAGUCAGUGGUGAAAACCCUGAGCUCAACUGAGGGCUUGCCAUUGAUACUGGGUAACUUGAUUACCGUAUAGGUAGGCAGAAUUUAUGGUGUAGCGGUGAAAUGCAUAGAUACCAUAAAGAACACCGAUAGCGAAGGCAGCUUACUGGACGGUUAGUGACGCUGAUGCACGAAAGCGUGGGUAGCGAACGGGAUUAGAUACCCCGGUAGUCCACGCUGUAAACGAUGAUCACUCGAUGUGUGCGAUAGACAGUACGCGUCCAAGCGAAAGCGUUAAGUGAUCCACCUGGGGGAGUACGACCGCAAGGUUGAAACUCAAAGGAAUUGACCGGGGUCCGCACCAAGCCGUGGAGCAUGUGGUUUAAUUCGAUGAUACCGCGAGGAACCUUACCUGGGCUAGAAUGUGAAAUGGCGGAAUCAAAGAUGGAUCUUUCUUCGGAACAUGAAACAAGGUGCUGCAUGGCUGUCGUCAGCUCGUGCCGUGAGGUGUUGGGUUAAGUCCCGCAACAGAGCGCAACCCCUAAAUGUAAGAUGCCAUCAGGUCGUGCUCGAGACUCUAACAGGACUGCCUACGAAAAUAGAGAGGAAGGUGGGAACAACGUCAAGUCAUCAUGGCCCUAACGCCCAAGGCUACAACACGUGUCUCACAAUGGGGGGUAAAGCGCGUCGAUAGCCACACCUGCAGUAACGGGAUGCCAAUCUCAAAAAGCCCUUCUCAGUUCGGAUCGUGGUCUGCAACUCGACCACGUGAAGUCGGAAUCGCUAGUAAUCGCGCAUCAGCAAUGGCGCGGUGAAUACGUUCCCGGACCUUGUACACACCGCCCGUCAAGCCAUGGGAGUUGGGAGGACCUGAAGAUGGUUGCCGCAAGGCGCUAUUAAGGGUUAAACCAGUGACUGGGGCUAAGUCGUAACAAGGUAGCC
rnacentral:rRNA from 1 species